AAGUUCGACGACAAGAGGUACCUUAAUUUAAGGUGACACAAAAUCGGAGGCCCCGACUGUUUACUAAAAACACAACACAGUGCAAUCAUUAAUAUGGUAGUAUACUGUGUGAAAUUUGCCCAAUGCCAUUAAUAUAAGAGAAGUUAUGGAUUUUUUAAUACUGUGACUAAUCGAAAAUCUGGUUAAUAGCGGUCUUAACUAUGAGGAUCCUAAGGUAGCAAAAUAAAUUGGCCAUUAAAUGUGGUCCGGUAUCAAUAAUGUAACGAUGGUCUCACUGUCUCUACAACUUGCUCAGUGAAAUUGAAUUACGCGUGCAGAUGCGCGUUACCUCCAGGGGGACGGGAAGACCCUA
rnacentral:rRNA from 1 species